rnacentral:rRNA from 2 species
AUUUGAUCUGAAAUCA